rnacentral:rRNA from 1 species
AUUGAACGCUGGCGGCAUGCCUUACACAUGCAAGUCGAACGGCAGCACGGGGGCAACCCUGGUGGCGAGUGGCGAACGGGUGAGUAAUACAUCGGAAUGUACCCAGUAGUGGGGGAUAACUAGUCGAAAGAUUAGCUAAUACCGCAUACGCACUAUGGUGGAAAGCGGGGGAUCGCAAGACCUCGCGCUAUUGGAGCAGCCGAUGUCCGAUUAGGUAGUUGGUGGGGUAAAAGCCUACCAAGCCUGCGAUCGGUAACUGGUCUGAGAGGACGACCAGUCACACUGGGGACUGAGACACGGCCCAGACUCCUACGGGAGGCAGCAGUGGGGAAUUUUGGACAAUGGGGGAAACCCUGAUCCAGCAAUGCCGCGUGUGUGACGAAGGCCUUCGGGUUGUAAGCACUUUUGGUCGGGACGAAACGGCGGCUUCUAAUACAGAGUGCUAAUGACGGUACCCGCACGAAUAAGACACCGGCUAACUACGUGCCAGCAGCCGCGGUAAACACGAG